GUGCCUGUGGCUCAGAGGAGUAGAGCGCCAGCCCCAUAUACCGGAGGUGGUGGGUUCAAACCCACCCAGGCCA
rnacentral:tRNA from 1 species